UUAUGGCCAUAUCACGAUUUAUCACUGGUACUUGUACGAUCACCGAAGUUAAGCAACAUCGAGCCUGGUCAGUAACUAGAUGGAUAACCGCUAUGGAAUACCACGUGCUGUAAG